GCAGCGUGGAUUAGGCAUGCAAGUCGAACGCUCGCCGGGGAGCAGCAAUGUUCACCGGCGGGAGUGGCGGAAGGGCGAGGAACGCAUGGACAAUCUGUCCCGAGGGUGGGGAUAACGCCGUGAAAACGGCGCUAAUACCGAAUGUGGCGUACGGGUCGCAUGACCUGUCCGCUAAAGGCGGGGACCGCAAGGCCUGCCCCCUGGGGAAGAGUCCGUGUGCCAUCAGCUUGUUGGCGGGGUAACGGCCCACCAAGGCUUACGGCUAGCUGGUCUGAGAGGACGACCAGCCGCACUGGGACUGAGAUACUGCCCAGACUCCUACGGGAGGCUGCAGUCGAGGAUCAUUCGCAAUGGGGGAAACCCUGACGAUGCGACGCUGCGUGGAGGAUGAAGGCCUUCGGGUUGUAAACUCCUGUCAUGAGGGAAGAGGAGAGUGUCACUAACAUUGACGCGAUUUGACGGUACCUCAAGAGGAAGCCACGGCUAACUCUGUGCCAGCAGCCGCGGUAAUACAGAGGUGGCGAGCGUUGUUCGGAUUUACUGGGCGUAAAGGGCGCGUAGGCUGCGAUGUGUGUCGGGUGUGAAAUCCCAGGGCCCAACCCUGGAAGUACGCCCGAAACUGCAUCGCUCGAGUGCGG
rnacentral:rRNA from 1 species